AGUGAAUUUUAGCAGAUCUCUAUAUGCGCACAAUAAUUAUAUUAUAAUUAAUUAAGUAUGGUAGUAAUUCUAGACAUUGAUAAAUUUUUGACUCGCGAUGAUCUAAGACUACUCAAAAGUGCUAAGUGGCCAUGGAGAAGAUCGCACUUUAUACUAGCAAAGAAAUGUCACAACUGUAACGCUAAUACUAACACGUACCCUGGAUUACCUACUCACUUUGUAAUAUUUAGUGCCAAAUACAUAUAUCGUCUUUUAAAUCAUAAUUUUUUCUGGUGUCAAACUUGUUCAUUCUUUACUAUAUAUGAUCAUUUUCCGGAAGACGAGUGCAAAUAUUGCGAAUGUUAACAAAGACAGCUACGCAACUACCCUAAAAAUUAAUAAAAAUGCCAUUAACCGGAGCUGAACGGGCUAAAAAAUUUAGAGAAAAAUUAAAGGAGGAUCCAGAAAAGUAUGAAAGAUAUAAACAGAAACAAAGAGAACGAGUUGCUAAACGAAGGAAAAAAAUUGAUGAUUUAGAUGAUAACGAGAAAGAAAAGCAAAGGGAACAGUGGAGAAAAGAAAAAAGAGUUCAAAAAAAAAGAAAAGAUGUAAAAAGUAAUCAAGAGGCAAAUAAUCAAGUAACCAUACCAAAAAAUAGAACUAAUAAGCAAAGUAGUAAACUGAAUAAAAAGUUACAAAGGGUAUACGCUAACUACUACAGGGCUCAAAAAAAACAACAAAAGUUGAAUACAGUCAUUGGUCGUCUCAGGAAGCAGUUAAUUCGCACUAAGCAAAAAGUACAAGGUUUGGAAACAUCUAAAAGUGUAGCUGAAAAAGAACUGAAUAGUUUGAAAAAUGCUGUGAAAGAGACUUAUACAGAAUGCAAAACACUGGCAGAGAAAAGAUCGUUAAAAAAAAUUGCAUACAAAUUUAAACAACGGUCUGGAAAGAACCUGCCGAAAAUUUUGGGCCUAAAAACUAAAAUAAGAUUUUUCAAUCGUAGAAGCAAUAACAAUUACGGGACAUUAAAGGUUCGAGAAAACAUUGCCGCAUUCUAUCUUCGAGAUGACGUAUCUAGA